GGACGGCCGCGCGAGCGAGCGUAGCCCGAGCAGCUUCAUCGCGGACCAGCUGUCUCUCGCGAAAUAAUGGAUACAAAUCGAGGAGCAUCAAUCGAGACUCGUAUCACUGAUCCCGAUAACGUUGGACGCGUCUCGGACACACGCGAACACGCAAUGUCAAUCGUCAGCGGCAGACAGACGCAUUUGGAAAGCUAAAACUCCGCCAGCCAGUGGACAGAGAGCGACUGAGCGACCUUUGCCCCUGGUUAUUUCAGCCCUUCGCGCCCUCCCCCCCACUCUUGGUCUUGGACCAUCUCGCAAGCUAGGAGGACGAAGUUACGUAAUUUUAUUCCAAGAUUUCCUCUCUCGUAAAUGGAUCUCUCAAGCGCUUGUGUUUGGAGCGAUCGUUUCAUUGCGGACUACACUUCUGCAAAAACUUGGAUAGAUACGUUUGCAGAAGAACUACAAGCCCGGGGUGUACACGCCAGUGGCUUGGAAACGAAGAUGAGCCAGGUGUCUCGCCAGGAUACUAC